rnacentral:rRNA from 1 species
UAUCCGCCCGGGUACUACGAGCAUCAGCUUGAAACCCAAAGGACUUGGCGGUGCUUUAGAUCCACCUAGAGGAGCCUGUUCUAGAACCGAUAAUCCCCGUUAAACCUCACCUUUCCUUGCCUAAUCCGCCUAUAUACCGCCGUCGUCAGCUUACUCUGUGAAGAAUAAAUAGUAAGCACAACUGGUAAAACCUAAAACGCCAGGUCGAGGUGUAGCGUAUGGAAAGGGAAGAAAUGGGCUACAUUCAGUAAUUGUAAUGAAUAACGAAUGACAUCCUGAAAAAAUGUCUGAAGGAGGAUUUAGUAGUAAGCAGAAAAUAGAGUGCUCUGCUGAAAUUGGCCCUGAAGCGCGUACACACCGCCCGUCACUCUCCCCGAGCUAAAUUUCCUUCAUUUCUAAUUAGCCAAAACUGUAAAGGGGAGGCAAGUCGUAACAUGGUAAGUGUACCGGAAGGUGCGCUUGGAAAAACUCAGGGUAUAGCUAAAUAACGUAUAGCAUCUCCCUUACACUGAGAAGACAUCCGUGCAACCCGGAUUGCCCUGAAACCCAAUAGCUAGCCCGACCCCUAAAAACCAACAAACCACUAUUUAGUAAACCCAAAUGCACUAAGCAACAUAAAACAAAUCAUUUUUCCCUCUUAGUAUGGGAGACAGAAAAGAAACCACGGCGCCAUAAAGAAAGUACCGCAAGGGAAAGCUGAAAGAGAAAUG